UAACCAUGAUGUGGACAAGUAAUUAGAAUGUCUUUGAAGCGCUCCCAAGCUUGAAAAAAUAGUUCAUUCCCCUUUUGGGAGAAUGACAUGAUUUCUUAUUUUAAUGCA